ACUGUAACAAAUUGCUAUAAUUUUUACAGCAAAAUUCAACAGUAAAUUACUGCUUUAUCAUUUUACAAGCUGUAACUGUAAAUGGCAAUGCAUUGUGGGUAAGGAAAAAAUACUAUAUUUUGCAGUAUUUCUACAGUGACUGACAAAUCCAAUUACAGCUCAUAUGUGUUACGUCUGUAUUUUAUACACUUUACAACAACAUAUUGUGUACUGUGUCACCGUUGCAUUGUGGGUAUGCACAGGUCACUUUUUGUUGAAGCUUAAUUAAAAUUAACCUCAAGCAGCACACAAGCGAAAAAAAGGAGACGACGUAGAACACCACUGGACAGAAGCGGAGACUGAAAACCAACAGACACUGAUGAGAGUCUUUGCUAAGUAAAAUGAUGUUUUAUCGGAAUCAACCCAACAACUGGCUGUGUCUUUUACAAUGAUUGUAAAAGUCUCUGAAAAAAGAAGCAACACAAUCAACUCUCGUGUCUGUACUUUGCUGAAAAGAAUAAUGCACUUUGAAUGGUUGUGCCUGUAAGUGUGGUGUUCUUAAGGUAAAGCGUAGUACCUAUAGACAUUUAGCUUGUUCUUCUCACAAUGUUCUGCCGUGUGUGAACAUGUCCCUUAAAAUGUUUGACAAUCUUUAGUUAACAGUUUAUAUAAAAAUUGUUUAUCAAUGUUUGAAUAGGGCCAGGAAACAAAAUGAUACUUAAAUUAUUGUUUGUCUAUUUCUGUAUCACCAGUACUGUAGAGUGAACCGUUGCCAAUAUCAGUAUCAAUAUACUGCAAUAGUUUUAAAACUUUUUUAUUCAUUAUCAAAGUUCAUGUGCCCUUGUUUGUAAACUGACACUUCAAUACCGUUGUGCUUUGCAAUAUAAAUAGUAUUUUUAAAUGUAGGUUUUAAUAACUGUUUUGAAUUUGACAUUUCUGACUGUUUUAUUUUUUAUUGAUUUUGAUGCAAUAUUCAAACUUUUAGAAUUUGAAUUUACUAGUGUACAUUAUUUGGCAGGUAGUCCUGUAAUUUAUACAAUUUGCCAACAUUUUUUCUGUAUAAAUAUUUUACAGCAACGUGAUGUUCCUAGAACUUUUUACAACACAUUAUUGGCAACUCCAGUUAUCAGGUAAUUACUGUAACUAAAGUUUACAAAACAAUGCUGUAAACAUGUUUACAGUGUUAUUGUAAAAUAAAAAUAACAAAGUUCUGUAAUUGAUGUACAAUAAUAAACUGUAAUUUAGUAUACAGUAA